UCUUCUCUCCUCUCUCUUCUUUCUUCAAUCUUUCAAUUCAAAUCCAUCCAAUAAUCCCAUCAAAUCCAUUAAUCUUGUUGAGCAAAGGAGAUCAUUCCACAUCCAUAUCAAGCAAGGAGCAAAUCAAGUGGAGCAUCAAGGGCACAUCCUCAUCAUCCAUCCACUUCAUCAAGCUCAAUCUGAGGGAGAGAUAAAAAUAGCAAGAGGGGGUUAGAGCGAACCCGACGUCAACACCACGUCACCGUGUCCUGUCUGCAGCAGCCAGGGCAUCUCACCUUUCAACUUUCGACCUACAUUAUUUCAGAUCACUUUGUUGUUGCAGAGGAGGAGAUACGAGUUGAUCAGGUCCAUAUCAUAGAUGAGGGCUUGGAUUCAUUUGAGGAGUAGCUGCAAGGUUUGAGCCAUACUGGAUUUAUGGAUAUGCUACUACAGUCAGACACUUCAUCCACGAUGUUUGGUCAUCUAGUUAUACCCUUACACUCCUCAAUCAUACAUACAACCAAAGAGAGAUAUGCAGGCACGAGUGAUGUGGUUGAUAUGAUCAGAGGACAUUAUCAGACUAUACAGCCUACUCCUGAUACACAGUUAGCUCAUGUCACUCCUAGCUUGAGCUCUGAGUGUGUGUGUAGGAGCGAUUCUUUCGAUGUUGUUAAUGGACAGGGGUUUAUUUGACAUCCAGACUCUCACCAGGACUCUCCCUCAGAUGGUCGCUCUGUUCGUGGCCGACAUGAUGCAUGUUGAUUUGUUGGACUUUAUAGCUCAUUUGUUAAUCUUUUUAUAUAUACGUGUACAUUUUAGACUUUCAUAUUAUAUAUUCAUGCAUGUAUGAAGUUUAGACUAGAUUAUACUUUAUAUAGUUUGUGUUUGAUCAGAUUAUAUAUUUCAU